AGUAACGGCGAGUGAAGCGGCAACAGCUCAAAUUUGAAAUCUGGCUUCGGCCCGAGUUGUAAUUUGCAGAGGAUGUUUAUGGUGCGGUACUUUCCGAGUUCCCUGGAACGGGACGCCACAGAGGGUGAGAGCCCCGUCUGGAUGGAUACCAAACCUGUGUUAAACUCCUUCAACGAGUCGAGUAGUUUGGGAAUGCUGCUCUAAAUGGGAGGUAAAUCUCUUCUAAAGCUAAAUACCGGCCAGAGACCGAUAGCGCACAAGUAGAGUGAUCGAAAGAUGAAAAGCACCUUGAAAAGGGGGUUAAACAGUACGUGAAAUUGUUGAAAGGGAAGCGUUUAUGACCAGACUUGUGCCGUGUGGCUCAUCCGAGGUUCUCCCCGGUGCACUCCACACGGCUCAGGCCAACAUCGGUUUUCGUCGGGGGAUAAGAACAGUAGGAACGUGGCUCCCCUCGGGGAGUGUUAUAGCCUGCUGUACGAUGCCCUGGUGGAGACCGAGGACCGCGCUUCGGCUAGGAUGUUG
rnacentral:rRNA from 1 species